UAGGGAAUCUUCCACAAUGGACGCAAGUCUGAUGGAGCAACGGCCGCGUGAGUGAAGAAGGUUUUCGGACCGUAAAGCUCUGUUGUUGGUGAAGAAGGAUAGAGGUAGUAACUGGCCUUUAUUUGACGGUAAUCAACCAGAAAGUCACGGCUAACUACGUGCCAGCAGCCGCGGUAAUCGUAGGUGGCAAGCGUUGUCCGGAUUUAUUGGGCGUAAAGCGAGCGCAGGCGGAAGAAUAAGUCUGAUGUGAAAGCCCUCGGCUUGACCGAGGAAUUGCAUCGGAAACUGUUUUCUUGAGUGCAGAAGAGGAGAGUAGAACUCCAUGUGUAGCGGUGGAAUGCGUAGAUAUAUGGAAGAAUACCAGUGGCGAAGGCGGCUCUCUGGUCUGCAACUGACGCUGAGGCUCGAAAGCAUGGGUAGCGAACAGGAUUAGAUACCCUGGUAGUCCAUGCCGUAAACGAUGAGUGCUAAGUGUUGGGAGGCUUCCGCCUCUCAGUGCUGCAGCUAACGCAUUAAGCACUCCGCCUGGGGGAGUACGACCGCAAGGUUGAAAC
rnacentral:rRNA from 1 species